UGCUGUUUUUUUUUUUUUUUUUUUUCCCCUCCCUUUUUCUGUCCGUUUCCCUUUUUUAAGACC
rnacentral:ribozyme from 14 species